rnacentral:rRNA from 1 species
UGGGGAAUAUUGCACAAUGGGCGAAAGCCUGAUGCAGCAACGCCGCGUGAGUGAUGAAGGCUUUCGGGUCGUAAAACUCUGUCCUAAAGGAAGAAUAAUGACGGUACUUUAGGAGGAAGCCCCGGCUAACUACGUGCCAGCAGCCGCGGUAAUACGUAGGGGGCAAGCGUUAUCCGGAUUUACUGGGCGUAAAGGGUGUGUAGGCGGUUAUGCAAGUUGAUGGUGAAAGGCUACGGCUCAACCGUAGUAAGCCGUCAAAACUGCAUGACUUGAGUGCAGGAGAGGAGAGUGGAAUUCCUAGUGUAGCGGUGAAAUGCGUAGAUAUUAGGAGGAACACCAGUGGCGAAGGCGACUCUCUGGACUGUUACUGACGCUGAGGCACGAAAGCGUGGGGAGCGAACAGGAUUAGAUACCCCCGUAGUCC